rnacentral:rRNA from 1 species
AUACGGAAGGUCCGGGCGUUAUCCGGAUUUAUUGGGUUUAAAGGGAGCGCAGGCUGAUGAUUAAGCGUGACGUGAAAUGUAGCCGCUCGACGGCUGAACUGCGUCGCGAACUGGGUAUCUUGAGUGAGUUCGAUGUUGGCGGAAUUCGUGGUGUAGCGGUGAAAUGCUUAGAUAUCACGAAGAACUCCGAUUGCGAAGGCAGCCAACAAGGCCUUUACUGACGCUAAAGCUCGAAGGUGCGGGUAUCGAACAGGAUUAGAUACCCUGGUAGUCCGCACGGUAAACGAUGGAUGCCCGCUGUUUGCGAUAUACUGUGAGCGGCCAAGAGAAAUCGUUAAGCAUCCCACCUGGGAAGUACGCCGGCAACGGUGAAACUCAAAGGAAUUGACGGGG